rnacentral:rRNA from 1 species
UACGUAGGGGGCUAGCGUUGUCCGGAAUCAUUGGGCGUAAAGCGCGCGUAGGCGGCCCGGUAAGUCCGUUGUAAAAGUCAAAGGCUCAACCUUUGAAAGCCGAUGGAUACUGUCGGGCUAGAGUACGGAAGAGGCGAGUGGAAUUCCUGGUGUAGCGGUGAAAUGCGCAGAUAUCAGGAGGAACACCAAUUGCGAAGGCAGCUCGCUGGGACGUGACUGACGCUGAGACGCGAAAGCUAGGGGAGCAAACGGG